rnacentral:tRNA from 1 species
UGCGAAGGUGGCGGAAUUGGUAGACGCGCUAGCUUCAGGUGUUAGUGUCCUUACGGACGUGGGGGUUCAAGUCCCCCCCCUCGCACCCA